GUUAAUCUAGUGAAAAUCACGUGACAAUUUGGGUGUCAAUAAAAAGGCAAUCUUUGAUUAAUA
rnacentral:tRNA from 1 species